GUGGGGUGGUGAUGAUGGUAGUUGUGGGGUGGUGAGAAUGGUUGAUAUGGGGUGGUGGUGAUGGUAGUAAUGGGGUUAAGGUGGUGGUGAUGGUGGUUAUGCGGUAGUGAGAAUGGUAGUUAUGUGGUGUUGAUAGUGGAUAUGGGGUGGUGAUGGUAUGUAUGGGGUGGUGAUGGUGGUGGUGAUUGUACUUAUGGGGUGUGAUGUUGGUUGUUAUGGGGUGGUGAUGGUGGUGAGAAUGGUAGUUAUGGAGUGGUGAUGAUGGUUAUGGGGUGGUGGUGGUGAUGGUAGUUAUGGGGUGGUUAUGGUAGCUAUGGGGUAGUGAUGAUGGUGAUGAUUUUGGUGAUAGUAGUUAUGGGGUUGGUGAUGGUAGUUAUGGGGUGUUCAUGAUGGUAGUUGUGGGGUGGUGAUGAUGGUAGUUGUGGGGUGGUGAGAAUGGUUGAUAUGGGGUGGUGGUGAUGGUAGUAAUGGGGUUAAGGUGGUGGUGAUGGUGGUUACGCGGUAGUGAGAAUGGUAGUUAUGUGGUGUUGAUAGUGGAUAUGGGGUGGUGAUGGUAUGUAUGGGGUGGUGAUGGUGGUGGUGAUUGUACUUAUGGGGUGUGAUGUUGGUUGUUAUGGGGUGGUGAUGGUGGGUGUGAUGUUUUUUUUUGGGGUGGUGUUUGUGGUUAUGGGGUGAAGGUGGUAUUUAUGGGGUGGUGAUGGUGAUGAUGGUAGUUAUGGGGUGGUGAUGGUGGUUAUGGGCUGGUGAUGGUGGUAAUUAUGGGGUGGUGAUGGUGGUGAUGGUAGUUAUGGGCUGGUGAUGGUAGUUAUGGGCUGGUGAUGGUAGUUAUGGGCUGGUGAUAAUGGUGGUGAUGGUGGUUAUGGUAGUUAUGGGGUGGUGGUGGUGGUUGUGAUGGUAGUUAUAGGGUGGCCAUGGUUGUGGUGGUUGUGGCGGUGGUGGCGGUGGUGGUAGUGGUGGUGGUGGUGGUGGUGAGGAUGGUAGUUAUGGGGGGAUGAUGGUGGUGAUGGUAGUUAUGGGGUGGUGGUAAUGGAAGUUAUGGGGUAUUGAUGGUAGUUAUGGAGUGGUGAUGUAGUUAUGGCGUGGUGAUGGUAGUUAUGGGGUGGUGAUGAUAGUUAUGGGGUGGUGGUGUUGGUGAUGAUGGUUGUUUGGUGGUGGUGAUGGUAGUUGUGGGGUGGUGAUGAUGGUAGAUUUGGGGUGGUGAGGAUGGUGGUCAUGGUAGUUAUGGGGUGGUGAAGGUUGUUAUAAGGUGGUGGUGAUGGUUAUGUUGUGGUGAUUGUAGUUAUGGUGUGGUGGUGGUGGUGGUGAUGGGGUGGUGAUGGUAGUUUUUGGGUGGUGAUGAUAGUUAUGGGGUGGUGAUGGUAAUGAUGGUAGUUAUGGGAUGGUGGUGAUGGUAGUUAUGUGGUGGUGAUGGUAUUAUGGGGUGCUGAUGGUAGUUUUGGGGUGGUGAUGGUAGUUAUGGGGUUUUGGUGGUAGUUAUGGGGUGGUGAUGGUACUUAUGGGGUUGUGAUGGUGGUAGUUAUGGGGUGGUGAUGGGAGUUAUGGGGUGGUGAAGAUAUUAUGGGGUGCUGAUGGUUGUUAUGGGGUGGUUAUGGUAGUUGUGAUGGUAGUUAUAUGGUGGCCAUGGUGGUGGUGGUUGUGGCAGUGGUGGCGGUGGUGGUGGUGGUGGUGGGGAUGGUAGUUAUGGGGGGAUGAUGGU
ensembl:lncRNA